ACGAACGUUGGCGGCGUGGAUUAGGCAUGCAAGUCGUGGGACAGCUGGGGGCAACUCCAGUUGACCGGCGUAAGGGGUAGUUAUGCAUGGGUAACCAUCCCUCCAGAUGGGGAUAACCCGUCGAAAGACGGGCUAAUACCCAGCGUUGUUGCGAUGGGGCAUCUUGUCGCAAUGAAAGGUGUGAUUCCGCUGGAGGACGGGCUCAUGUGGUAUUAGCUAGUUGGUAGGGUAACGGCCUACCAAGGCUACGAUGCCUAGGGGGUGUUAGCGCACGACCCCCACCACUGGGACUGAGACACUGCCCAGACACCUACGGGUGGCUGCAGUCGAGAAUCUUCGGCAAUGAGCGCAAGCUUGACCGAGCGACGCCGCGUGGAGGAUGAAGGCCUUCGGGUUGUAAACUCCUGUCAGGGGGGAGGAAAGCUAGGUGGGCUCUCCCAUUUAGUUGACCUAGCCUCAGAGGAAGGACGGGCUAAAUUCGU
rnacentral:rRNA from 1 species